rnacentral:lncRNA from 1 species
UUUUCAGGCUAGUCGAUUACCCCCACUGGAAAAUAAAAGUUUUAUAGAUAUUUGAGCAUAUUAAAGAUAUUCUAAAGAACUACUGCUAACGUUGCAUCAUAAACAAACUAAUACGAGCUAAUACUAAUGACUAUUAGUUUAUUCACUAACUAAUACAAAUAAGUAGAACAAAAUCAAAUAACUCCAUCUUCUUUCAUCACGGACCNNN